CACCCCUGCUUAUACGCUUAAGGGAGAGCUUAAACAUAAGCUGGAAUAGGUAAAUUAAAGAUUUGGCAACAGUUAAGAUAGUAAUAGCUGUUGAUAAAUAUCACUAAAUGCUGGAAACCUCUAACUAAAUUAUUAUAAUUGUAUAAUAAAGUUUAUUAAAACAAUCAGCAGGAAACCAACAGACAGUAGGUUUAGUUGGGUCCUCAGAGACUACACGUGAUAUAUCCUCUCAUUUUUAGCGAACGGCUUUAUAGUUGAGAGGAUAAAGAUAUAGUCCAAUCCAUUAAAGAAAUUUAAUG
rfam:Diplodia corticola strain CBS 112549 scaffold74, whole genome shotgun sequence.